GGUUCGUUGGUGUAACGGCUAACAUUACAGAUUGUCGAUCUGUCGCCACGGGUUCGACUCCCGUACGAACCG
rnacentral:tRNA from 1 species